CAUAUAUAUAUAUCCUCACACACAUCUUGACUAAAUUAUAAUAAAUUGAACGAGAUCCAUCCAUCUGGCAUAAAUCUGAGGACCGCGAAUCCAGUCAGCGACGAGGUAAAAAGAAAAUCUCUUCGAUGGAUGUGGCAUUAUUUUAAAAGGUAUAAUAAACAACGUGGAGCAUGCGAUAUCUGUGAUAAAAAUUUCAUCCUAUCAUCUAUCGAUACAUCUGUGAUAUAUCAUAUAAAAAUAAAGCAUAAAGAAAUUUAUA